rnacentral:misc_RNA from 1 species
GAUGAAGAACGUAGCGAAAUGCGAUAAGUAAUGUGAAUUGCAGAAUUCAGUGAAUCAUCGAAUCUUUGAACGCACAUUGCGCCCGCUAGUAUUCUGGCGGGCAUGCCUGUUCGAGCGUCAUUUCAACCAUCAAGCUCCCGGGCUUGCGUUGGGGCCCUGCGGCCGCCCGCAGGCCCCGAAAUGCAGUGGCGGGCUCGCUGUCACACCGAGCGCAGUAGCGUACCUCUCGCUCCGGGCGUGGCGGCGGGCGCCGGCCGUGAAACCCCCUACAUCAAAAAGGUUGACCUCGGAUCAGGUAGGAAUACCCGCUGAACUUAAGCAUAUCAAUAAGCGGAGGA